rnacentral:lncRNA from 1 species
UGCCAUACAGCCCUAACGUUAUUACGUCAUCAUUCCCUCAUUUUUUACAUCUAAGAAGCAGCAGCAGCACCUGGAGUUUUCUUCAUUCUCUUGGCGGUUGGAGACUUGAUUGACUUUGGCUGUUUAGGCUUCGCAGGAGUUGAUUUCUUUGUCUUCUUUGUUCCCACUCUCUUAGCUGCAGGCUUUGCAGCUUCACUUUUGUUCACAGACCUUGUCUUUCUCGUGGUGGUCGUGGUCGUGGUCGUGGUAGUGUUUCUUGCUUUUUUGGUUUCUUUAGCUUCCUUAUCUGCUUUACCUUUAGCCUUUGGGACCUUUCCGGUGCCUUUCUCUUUCUUGCCUGCUUCUGAUAGCUUGUAAGAGCCUUUGAUCUUUAUAAGUUUUCCUCUGGAGGUCGAGUUCUUCAAUUGUAAAGCUAAGAUUUUCUUAAAAUUUGCAGGUAGCACCGCCUUGUGCUUCUCUUCCAUGUACUUGGCUAUGGCGUAUGGACUUGAUCCGCCAGUCUUCUCGUCCAAUGCCAACAGAGCUUCCUUGAUCAUCUGAGUAUCCCACAAAAUUAAAAAAGAUUUAAAGCACUACAACUACGUACAAUAAAUUAAUCAAAACAUAUAACACACCUGAAAAUAUGGAGGAUGUGAAGCGGUUUUGGGCUGUUUAGGCUUUUUCUCCUUGCGAGCUCUUGGCUUCUUCUCCUUCACUGGCUUUUCAGUCGGCUUGACCUCCUCCUCCUCUACGGCAGGCGCCUGCUCGACGGCAGGAGCUACCACUUCUGCUUCUUUC